GUGCCAGACUCCUACGGGAGGCAGCAGUGGGGAAUACUGCACAAUGGGGGAAACCCUGAUGCAGCGACGCCGCGUGAGCGAUGAAGUAUUUCGGUAUGUAAAGCUCUAUCAGCAGGGAAGAAAAUGACGGUACCUGACUAAGAAGCCCCGGCUAACUACGUGCCAGCAGCCGCGGUAAUACGUAGGGGGCAAGCGUUAUCCGGAUUUACUGGGUGUAAAGGGAGCGUAGACGGCAAUGCAAGCCAGAUGUGAAAGCCCGGGGCUCAACCCCGGGACUGCAUUUGGAACUGUGUAGCUGGAGUGUCGGAGAGGCAGGCGGAAUUCCUAGUGUAGCGGUGAAAUGCGUAGAUAUUAGGAGGAACACCAGUGGCGAAGGCGGCCUGCUGGACGAUGACUGACGUUGAGGCUCGAAAGCGUGGGGAGCAAACAGGAUUAGAUACCCUGGUACG
rnacentral:rRNA from 1 species